rnacentral:rRNA from 1 species
UAAGGUGGCUAUAGCAUUGGGGAUCCACCUCUUCCCAUCCCGAACAGAGCAGUUAAGCCCAAUCACGNGGGAGAGUAGGUAGCCGCCACUUUUA